GAUAUGAUGAUUUUUACAUUGGUCCGUGUUUCUGAAUUUACCGUGACCGAUAACUUUUUCCAAUUUCUGAUCUCUAAUUUUAACUAAUAAUUUGUGUUUUUAUUUUUAUGUUGCAGUUGCUCAGUGAUUUUCUGCCUUUGUUGCAGUAUACGCUAUUCCGAUUCAUAAUUAUGAGCAGAUAUUUCAAUUUUGAUGAGAGCU